CCCCCCCCCCCCCUCUCUCUCUUUGCGCUUGGGGGCAUCGGGAAGGCACCCCUAUCGUGGCCACGGGGAGCUCCAGCACCAGGUCCAGCAGCGGUCGCCCGGAGCGUGCUGGUGGCGAGGGCGAGGAGAGGAACGGUCUACGGCGCCAACCUGCGAGCCGGAGGGAGUGGCGUCAUCAGUGGCCUCUGGCUCUUCCUCACCGUCGGCGGGGGCCUCUCAUUGCCGGCCUUCCUGUUGUUCGUCGGAAUUUGUGGUGCCAUUUCCUUCAGGCCAUACCUAUUAAAAAUAUUUCUGUGGUUUCGAGGAUACAUCAAACAUACAUAAUAGGCUAUCUAAAGGAUGUUAUAUUACCCCGAAUAUUAGAUGAUACAUACGAACAAUGCUGCUGUUAUUUCCUUACUGAAGGAUGAUGCUUGCUUUAUCCAAGAAUUAUUCUCUAGGAUGGGAUCACCAAAUAUUUCUAUGGAAUCAAAAAGAGAAUUGGUGAGACAUUCUCUUAUCUUUUCUUAUACGAGUUUAUGGCUUCAUCACAUGAAGUAUCUUUUUCAUUAUCAUAUCUGUUUAUUGUUAUACGAGCUUAUGGCUUCAUCACAUGAAGUAUCCUUUUCAUUAUCAGAUCUGUUUAUUGAUAGACAUUAUUAUCAAUUCCUUCGCAUUGUGUCAUUGCUACAAAGGAAUUUAGUUUGGGUACUGUAAAAUGUAGCUGAUUGAUACGGUUUUCCCCGUGAGUUAGAAGAAUAUCAUAUAUAGUGGUGCACGUGAUUAUGAAGGACCAUAAUCUGUUAUUGUUUUGGUGAUUUUUCUCAACAGUGGGAGCUUGGCGCUUGUUAAAUUUGAUAGUCAUCUAGACUAAUUCAUUUUCUGCAGGAUGUUGCAGUUUCUGUGUCCUGCGUAGUAUUUAGAGGAAUUCAAAUAGAUGCCACUGUAAAGUGUGGUUUAAUAUGUGGUCUGGGGCUCAGCUCAAUGCCAUUUUUAGGAACUACAAAAUUUGCGUUCUGUUCUGUUUUCAGGUUGAGAUGAUCCAGAUGAUAGUUGCUUUUACAUGCAUAUAGUUGUUGCAGUUACUGGAAUGUGGAGUUGGAAGUACUUAAUGCUCCGCGUCUGACAAUGCUAAUAGUGUUUCUGGUGUUUGCAGGUCCUGUUCUUGCAUGAGUUCUGCACUCUUAGUAAGAGUUUGCCACUUGUACAACACUACGACUGUUUCGGCAUAUACUUGUUUUCUUUCGUUCUUUCUUUUUCGUCAUAUGCCCUCUAGCUAGAUCACACAAGCCAUAAUAACACAGCACAGACCCCAGGCGUGCCAAAAUUUCAAAUAUGCAAACUGUGAUAAAUGGCUAUUUCCUAUAUCUCUUGCAAAACUAAACAUAGUUUUUUUGUGUGUGUGCAUGAUGUUGAUUCUAAAACCCCAUCUCAAAUAGGUCUCGUAUAAGCUCCGUUAGCUGUACAACUCUUGUUUCACUGUGUGGCUUGCUGUACGAGCUCAAACCAGAGGAUAGUUAUGCCAAUAUCAUACUUAGCUGAAUCCCUGGUUAAGUUUUGCGUAAGCUUCUGGUAUUCAAUUCAAUGAGCACACUGCACCUGCUCAUUGCACGACACUGUAAAAAUUUCUUAUGUACUGCAUAAUGACCAGUACUACUGCACAUGAGGAAAUCUGGACUUGCACAUCAGUAGAGGAUUGGGAGGAAAGUAGAGGUUUGAGGACGAAUGGAGGAGUGGACGAGAUUAGGCACACUAAUGUCACAUUCCUUAUGAAUUCGGUUGUUUUUAAUUAUUACUCAAAUGGGGAGGGCACUCUCUCCUUGUGUGUCGUAGUAUUUGUCUUAACAUGCCUAGGUAAGAUCAAUGUUUAUUGUGUUACUUAUGCCUGUAGGCUGUACCUGUAAACAUAGUGCAUCAUGCAACAGUACUGUAUCUUUGACAUCUGUUUGCCUUUGCUUGAGUAAGAUGUGCUUAUAAACAGGGCAUCCACUGCAGCUUUGAUGUCUGGAGUUUUAACCCUCUUAUCCUGGCUUCUUUUGCAAUAGAGCAUACGAUACUGGUAUGGCUGAGGUGGUGGUGCCAUCACCCUUUGGCAUCCCAAUGUAAUCUUGUAAUUAGUUUUGCUAAGAUUAGGUACAACAAGGGCCUAUGAUUCAUGUUAUCCGUAUUUUCAUCUAAGUUGCAUGGAUACGUGUAUUGAUAUCGGGCCAAUACCUAUAAAAAACGUCAUUUUCGAAAAGCACCAUUGAGUUCUUAUUUAACUCAUCUAAUAUGUUGCUACUGCUUAGAUGUUGACCAUGUAUACACACACAUAUGUACUUGUAUUUCAGAUCAGAACAGUCCCAGUACUACUGAUUUUAUAUGUUUACAUGACUUGCAACCGCUGAUUCUGCUUAGUUCAAGCAUAAUCUGAUUAGACUUAAAAGUUUGCUGCUUAAUUGCAGGUAUGUUAUGGACCUAAGCAUGUUGAGGUCGCAUCUUGCAAUGCAAACUCUUCUGAUGACGACAGAUAGUUUGUUUCGGCGCCUUCGCCACAUUGUCAUUCAUUUGUGAGAUGUUUCUCUUUCUCUAUGUUGGCAUGGAUGAUAUAUAGAGUAGUGGAAGAUUGUUAGUGAAACACAUUCAGCCCAAUGAAAUGUAUCGCCUUGAGCUCCAUUAUUUAGGCCAGAUCACAUGAGAGAUUUUGUGUCAAUUGCAUUGACAUCCAAUAAGGUAAAAGCUCUGAUUUAUAUUAGGAGGCGUACCCAUCUGUCUGAAGACUGCUCUUAAUAUAUUCUUCUCUUUCUCAUGUUGUAACAUUUAGAUCAGUCCACUUAUCGGAUUUUAAUUCCAUGUGCUCGGAUGCAUAUUUGAAUAAAUCAUCCAGUCCUUCUAGCUGUUGUACCAACAAAUGAAAAAGUAUAAGCAUCACAAGUGUGGCAUUCGUGUCAUCUGAGGAUGGAUAGCAACCGAUCUUUAUCAUCUUAUAGAUGCAUGCAUUCUCUAAGAACACACUUCCACCUGACCUUACUUGUAGAUGCUCUGUAGCCAAUCACAAUCUUUAUCAGCUAUAGAAAUUGAGUGACUGUCAAUCAGGAAAUCAAAGAUUGGAUAUGCAGUGUUUCAUGCAGCUGGCAUCACCUGUGUCAGAUUGUUUUUGUUCUCCAGUUGUAAGGACUACUGUAGAUUUGGCUCGACACCGUUUGUCACGUAGUCUUUGUAAUAUACCUUGUUUAUGUUGCUCAUACCGGGCACUUUCCAUCUGCCUCUUGAGUGCUUGUUUUGCUUCUGUAUAAUAAGUGUUAAUUAGGUACAAGACAACAUGAGCAACAGUGUUUUGUCAAUCAGAUGUACGGUGUAAGUGUAAAUUAUGUAUGAUACUCCCUCCAUUUUUGUAUACAAGGCCACUAUUAAAAAUACA